rnacentral:tRNA from 1 species
GCGCUCAUGGUCUAGAGGUAGGAUUUUGGGUUUCCAACCCAAAUACCCGGGUUCGAAUCCCGGUGGGCGCA